GGGGAGAGACAUCUUUCGUCAGGAAGGUGGGGGCGUUUCGGGGGCAAAUCCCUGGCGAAAGAGCAAAAACAAGAUUCCUCCUUCCAAUUAUAAUAUGCAACUUUAACAUGAAAUAGUAAAUCUUGAGAUCCUGCAACCUUCCAGAGCAGAUUUGGAGUGCAGGUUCUGCGGCAUUAAGGAAAAAUGGAUGAGGAAUGACACUCCCUUUUGCAAGCAAAAAUAUCCAAUGAGUUCAGUGAAAGUACUUUGGGGUAAAACCCAAUACUCACCUUUUCAUAUAAUGCAUAUAUCAUUGUGAUAAUUACAAAUCAGAAUAUACCUAUUAUAUUCUUGAGUACCCAAAUUCUGUCAAGAGUUUGCAAUAAAUACAUAAAAAGACUAGGG